CCUACGGGAGGCAGCAGUGAGGAAUAUUGGUCAAUGGGCGGAAGCCUGAACCAGCCAAGUAGCGUGCGGGAUGAAGGCCCUACGGGUCGUAAACCGCUUUUGCACGGGGAUAACACCCUCCACUUGUGGAGGUCUGCAGGUACCGUGCGAUUAAGGGCCGGCUAAUUCCGUGCCAGCAGCCGCGGUAAUACGGGAGGUCCGAGCGUUAUCCGGAUUCAUUGGGCUAAAAGGGAGCGUAGGCGGGCGUUCAAGUCAGCUGUAAAAUCGCGCGGCUCAACCGCGCCCCGCAGUUGAAACUGGACGCAUUGAGUGCACAACAGGCAGGCGGAAUUCGAGGUGUAGCGGUGAAAUGCAUAGAUAUCACGAGGAACCCCGAUUGCGAAGGCAGCCUGCCGGGGUGCGACUGACGCUGAGGCUCGAAGGUGCGGGUAUCAAACAGGAUUAGAUACCCGGGUAGUC
rnacentral:rRNA from 1 species